CUCAUUACCAGUUGUUUCCCAAAUUAAGGUUUCUUCGGGCAUGCUCUUCUGUAGCCAACCCCUUAUAAUGACCACAGAUGAGGGCCUAAGGCUCUUAGGCACAUACAAGCCUGUGAAGUAUUUGCUGACUUUUUUCCGUCUGCAACUUUUGCUCUUGUUCUUCCUUUUGAUGGAGGAUGACUGUGGCUGGGUUCUCCUUAUUCCUCAUGGUGGAAAGGAGCUUCCUUCACCUAAACAGCUGGGCUGUAAAUCACCAGGGAUGCUGAGAUGUGGCAGUGGUUUGACACUGGGAAACAAGAAGCAUCAGUGUUUCCUGAGCACUUGUUUAAGACAAUUGUGCCAACACUGGGCAGGCCAUUUCACUGAAAUCAGAUGAAAUAGGGGGAGACACCAAGAGAAGUGGUGGAGAGUCCUGCCCAAUGACAGCUGAAAGCUGUGGCUUGGGUCAUCCCGAGGCAGAUCUCUAUGUAAAGAUGCUCGGACUUGAUGAGCAAAGCAGCCUGCUCCCAGCUGAGGACCCUUGCCGUGGUAAGGCACAGGGAGCAGCACUCCUAGGAUGCCCAGAACAUGCAGAAAUAAAACAGGGCAGCAAAGUGGAUCUGAUGAAACUGCAUAAAACCAAUGAAGUGACAGGCAUCCAACUGCAAUUAUUUUUGCUCCAUAAACUCCACAUAAGCUGUGUAUGGUUAUGAAUGGAAAGAACAAUCUCCUGUGUCUGGUCUAAAAGACCUGAAGAGCACAACAGACUUGUCUCCCAGUCAGCACGUUUUGUGCCAGAAUACUGGGGCACUAAGUGCCAUCUGUGUGACGCUGUUCGUCUCUGAAGAACUGCAGCUUUAUCACCACUCUGUGCUCGCUGCUGAAUCACAAAAUGAAAGGGAAUGGCCAGGAGCUGUGUUUUUUUUUGAAUGCAUACAAAUUCUGUGCCUGUUUUCUGUGCGUUCUUUGUGACCUAUUACAUUCGGAUAUGAGUGGAGAGAUGCAAAACACACUUCAGCGAGUCCCUUCGUUAGCUCUUAGCUCUCGUCUUCUCACACAAGGUAGAUGAAAGACUUGUAAUCCUGUCUGGACCCCUCUUAUUAGGAAAUGGGGGGCGGGGGGCAGGAAGGAAAGGCAAGCUCGGUUUCUCACUGUUUUAAAUGAUCUGGGAGCUGGAGUAAGUGUACAUACACAGCCUACAGUAAGAUCCUGCAAUUAUCUAUCCGUUGGAAAUCAGGCUAAAAACACAGCCAGGCUCUUUUAACUGUUCUGCUACCAUUCAUCUAUUCAGACUAAUCAGGAUCAAUUCUCUUCUGUAUUUCUGAUAGCACUGCAUUUAUAUUUUCUUGAUAAAACAAUUACUGACCCUGUAGAUGUAUCCUGAUAGCGUAUGUCCUCAUCUUAUUUCCAGUCUUUCCUCAUCCCUCUUGCCUCUAGGCACUUUUCACUACAUCUUUCUCAGGUGUUUUACGUAUUCCACCCUCUGACUCCUUCACGCACACUUGCUGGCUUGUUUGAUCAGACAUGCACAGCAAAAGCAAUCAAAAAAUUUCCCUGACAGCCCAAGAAAUUGUAACCAUAACUGCAGAUGGAGCCUGCUAUUGCUGCCUGGCAGGGGCUCUGCUGCACCCAGGUAUUCAGGGCAGGAGCCCUGGGCCUCCCUUUCUUCCCCCUCUAUCACUACUUCAGUUGUCUCCCGAAUCAAAGGCAAUCAUCAGUAACUAUUUAUGUGGCCUAACUUCUGCUCAACAUGUCCUGUUUCUCUGCAGAAAUAAAUGGCGACCACUGCAGCCACCUGUUCUCAUGCUUUGAUGCCAGACAGCAGUUUGUCCUCCACAGUGGCAGGGCUUUGUUGCAAUACAUUAUUAGGAGCACGUAACUUGCCCUACCGGAUGCGGUCACAGCUGCCUAAAGCACCCUCCCUGGCCAGCAUCUCCCCCCCAGUGCCACUUAUGGGGUCCUCAUUCCCUUUCCUGGGCUCUGUCCCUAAUCUGCUCCCGUGUCCCUGCCUCUGGGUCGGCCCCUGCCAGCUGUGGUGCUGCUGCUCCCGGGACGCCAGCGUGACUGGGGGCUGGCCUGCAGGGACAGUGCCAAGGCAGAGCUCAGCAGAGGCUCUGGGGGGUUAAGAAAACCAUGUGGAGAGGAAUUAGUGCAGGGCAGGGAGGUGCUGGCCUUUCCGAGAGCCUCAAUGAAAAGCCCUUUCAGAGCCGUUUAGCCUCCUGUCAGCGGAGGGCUGGGUGACCCAGGGGACAAGGGCCCUCCAGUUUUCAUCUGUACCUUAUUGCUGUGGGUCAGCUUAUGGUUUGCAAACUUUUCUGAGAAUGCGUGAACAGAAAAAAAGGAAAAACUCAGCCUGGUAAAUAACAUUGCCUUCCCCACCAAGUGCUUGACAGGGAAGAGGAGGACACAAACACAGCUCAGAAAGACUUAUUCUAAUCUAUAAUGACAUAUCAAGCUAGCAGCAAGCAGAGGAGGAGCUCUUAAACAACAGCCAGGAGCAAAAGAGAAUAGUCAUUUUCCAUCUCUGUAGUAUUUUUGUCAUGUCUAUUAGGUGACUCUUAAUUGUUCCAGCAGCCUUACAGCUCUUGCUGGGUUGAGAUCUUUCCUGGCUCAACCUGCAAGUCCCGCUAUGCUCUGCACGGGGGCUUUGUGGCAGCACAGCUGGCAGGUGAACACUUAUGCUUUACCUGACAUUGGGGAAUCUGCAGAUACUGGUGGUAUCUGAAUGUUUUCCCAAGUGCUGCCUCCUUGCUUGCCUUCUCCCUGUGCCAAGAGAGCAGCAGUGUCAGUACUGUGCUGCGCUGGCAAAGCCCUGCUGGUCCAUGUUGUAAAUGCACCCCGAGAGGAGGGUAUCCUGGGUCCAGCCUCACUGUUGCUGCUCUAGGAAGCCAGUAUCAAGGGCACCUUGCAUGAACUCUUGCACUUGGAGGGAAAAGUUUCUGGCAGCGUGCUGCUGGGUUAGGAAGGGUCCCUGCUGAGGAGGAAUUUCCCGGCUUUGUUUAACUUAACCACACGUUGCUGAACUCCAUCGGGAAAAUCAGUGGGUAAAAUCUCCUGACCUGAGCUACUGUAGGUCAGGAGAUCAGAACAAAACGAUUGCACUGGCUCUUCUAGCUCAGGGAAAAUGACAAAGCAAGAAAGCAUCCGACCUCCGAUUUGAGAGCGAGCCAGGGAGGGCUGUAAAUACAUGCAGGGAAGGACUGCUGUGAGUCCUGGUGUGCAGCAAAGCCCUACCACUGACAAGUGGUUUUAACAAGGUGGUGAAGGGUAGGCAGGAACACAGCAAUUUGCAUACCAAGUAUAGGGAUCAUGAAAAAGUCAAAUUAAAAGCAUAAAUUGAGUCCCUCAUGGUUUAAUCAUGAGGGCUGGCAGGACUACAGUAUCCCUUACAACAGCAGAUGUCUCCCACGGCAGGGCCUUGAAGGAUAUCCCCAUUGGAGGGAUGAAGAUGAGUUCUGACACCUCAGACAAAUCUAGACAGGGUUUUUCCUUUUCCUGCUCCUAUUGGCUUUUGCGAACAUCUUAAAUUAGA